GCCGGUUGCUCAGCCCGGCCGGAGUUCCCAGGGGCAAAGCCUCGCGUAAGCCUCAUAAGCGGGUCCCGGGUUCAGGCAUUGUCGCCUAGAAUUACCGGCCGGGGCACCA
rnacentral:tRNA from 1 species